ACUAGUGUGGCAGAAUAACAUGCAAUGAAUUUAAGAUUCAUAAAUAAAUAAAAAUAUUUCAUUAGAA
rnacentral:tRNA from 1 species